rnacentral:rRNA from 1 species
GAUGAACGCUGGCGGCGUGCCUAAUACAUGCAAGUCGAGCGAACGGACGAGGAGCUUGCUUCGCUGAUGUUAGCGGCGGACGGGUGAGUAACGCGUGGAUAACCUACCUAUAAGACGGGGAAAACUUCGGGAAACGGGAGCUAAUACCGGAGAAGAUUUUGAACCGCAUGGGUGAAAAGAGAAAGACGGUCGUGCUGGCACGUAUAGAGGGAUCCGCGCUGCAUUAGCGAGUUGGUAAGGUAACGGCUUUCCAAGGCAACGAGGCAUAGCCGACGUGAGAGACGGAUCGCCCACCCGAGAACUUGACCGCCGACCAGACUCCUACGGGAGGCCGCAGUCGGCAACGUUCCGCAGUGGGCGAAAGCCUUACGGAGCAACGCCACGUGAGUGAUGACGGUCUUCGGAUCGUAAUACCCUGUUACUAGUGAUGAACAUCUGUGUACGUAACUGUGCCCAUCUUGACGGUACCUAGUCAGAAAGCCCCGGCUAACUACGUG